UACGGAGGGUGCGAGCGUUGUUCGGAAUCACUGGGCGUAAAGCGCGCGUAGGCGGCUUUGUAAGUUAGAGGUGAAAGCCCGGGGCUCAACCCCGGAACUGCCUUUAAGACUGCAUCGCUUGAAUCCGGGAGAGGUGAGUGGAAUUCCGAGUGUAGAGGUGAAAUUCGUAGAUAUUCGGAAGAACACCAGUGGCGAAGGCGGCUCACUGGACCGGUAUUGACGCUGAGGUGCGAAAGCGUGGGGAGCAAACAGG
rnacentral:rRNA from 1 species